GAAACACUAUGGUAAUCAUUGGUAAUCAUUGAAACACUUUUCCUUAGGUUUGCCACGGAAAAAUAAUCUACUUUAGUUCUCUACUUUAGUUCUUUAAUAAUAGUUUGAGAUCGCAAACAAGCAUGAAUAUUCAUUUUCUGUGAACAUUAAAGCUACUAGAGAUGUGCAGACAGGCUCCAAUGAAUAUUGCUUUUGAAACAGCAUGAAUUGACAAAUGUUCUGUGUCUCAUCUCAGCCAAUAAGGAAGUUUGAGGUUUUUAUUUUUCUCUAGAACAUCCAAAUAAUUGCUUUCUUUCCAUGUAGAUCAGGAGUCAUCCUUCCACUUCAAUUUCCUGUCAAAAAGCAGUUGUGCAAAUUAAUUUCUCUGAGCCUCAGUUUCUUCAUAAGAAUGAUGAUAUCUGUCUACCAUACCUGGUUGCUAAGGAUCAAAUAUGGAAAUACUUUUUGGAAGACAGGAAAAUACUAUGUCCUUUUAACAAGCUAAACCGUAUUUCUCUGCUGCACAUGAAGAGACUGACGUUUGGAGAGGUUAAGGGACAUCCAAGCUGUUGAGUAGCAAAAUGGAUUCCAGUCCAGUACACUUUUCAGUCUGCGUUCAUAUUGUAACAUACAGUGAGUUACUAAUUUUCUUUUUUAAAAGAUGGAAUAAUCUGACUUUUUGAGCAGAACAUAGCUAAUUAUUUAAUAUGUCUUUAAAGCAUCUCAGAGAAUAUUUGAAAAACAUUCUUGGACUAUUUGUUUUCUAGGAAAGCCCAUACUUAUAAAGAUCUGAAAAUAUUUUUACACUUAAAAUAUUUUCUUAGAUGUUUCAGUAUCAUAAGUUUUUUGAAAACCAUAAGGAUUGUAUAGACACAUUUUUAGAAAGCUGAUACCUCUCAAUCCUUAUCCAAAAUGUUGGAUAUUUUCCUCCCUCUGUUCCUCUACUCACGUUUCUAAGAAAUAGUACAGUAUAUUAUGAUGGUUAAAUACUAAGACUUUGGUAUCAGACUGUCUGGGUUCUUCACACAUAGACCUGUAAUACUUUCUAAUUGAAUGAUCUUAGGAAAAUCACUUAACCUCUCAGAGCCUUUAGUUCAUCUGAAAAAGGGGGUAAUAAUUAUACCUCAUCUCAUAGUACUGUAAGGAUAAAUGAAAGCCGUUGGAAUAGUUCCUGCAUGUAAUAAGCAUUCAGUAGGAUGACCCUAAAAUUUAGUCUAAGCCAUUCUUGAGACUGAAAGGGAGAGCUAAAAAUAAUUAUGCCUAUAGACAACAACCUUGAACUGGUACAGUCUAAAAGCAAAUCAGAUACGUUCCUCCAUUGAAAAGUAGGCUAAUAGCAACAUGAUAUAGUUAAAUAGAAGAAACUAUUGACGACUCAAGGUCAUCAUCAUUUCAGUUAUAUGUACUAGCAUACUAACUUGGGAGUCUCCUGAAGAAUAUGAUUUCUGUUAAGUAACCUCAAAAGGGUUGAUUCUGGCUUUAUAGACCUUUUUUUUUCUUUUGAUUUUCAUACUUUUAGACUCUCA
ensembl:lncRNA